CCCUUAGAUGUCCGGGGCCGCACGCGCGCUACACUGAAGGAAUCAGCGUGGCUUUCUCCCUGACCCGAAAGGGUUGGGAAACCCGUUGAAUCUCCUUCCUGAUAGGGAUUGGGGCUUGAAAUUGUUCCCCAUGAACGAGGAAUUCCCAGUAAGCGCGAGUCAUAAGCUCGCGUUGAUUACGUCCCUGCCCUUUGUACACACCGCCCGUCGCUACUACCGAUUGAACGGUUUAGUGAGGGCCUCGGAUUGGUCUCGGCCCGCUCUUUACCGGGCGGCGCCGUUGGUCGAGAAGACGCUCGAACUUGAUCGUUUAGAGGAAGUAAAAGUCGUAACA
rnacentral:rRNA from 1 species